UACGUCACGACGAUGCCAUGAGUUCAAUCCAAAACGGUCGCUACAUUUUCGAAAAGUACUUAUGGCCCCAAAACGAACACCGUGUGCAGAAGUUACGCUCCAUUAUUCGAACGUCGAUAAUCCAAUUAUGCAAGUGCUCGAUCUUUGAAAGAAAAAUGCCCAAAAUCCCUCAUACGUCACGACAAAGUAGUGAGUUCAAUCCAAAACGAUCGCUACAUUUUUGAAAAGUACUUAUGGGCCCAGAACGGAUACCGUGUGCAAAAGUUGCUCUAAAUUCUUCGAACGUCGACAAUCCAACUAUGCAAGUGCUCGUUCUUAAAAAAUAAAUGGUCAAAAUCCCACUAACGUCACGACGAUGUCCUGAGUUCAAUCUAAAAUGGUCGCUACAUUUUUGAAAAGUACUUAUGGGCCCGAAACGGAAACCGUGUGUAAAAGUUACGCUCAAUUCUUCGAUCGCCGACAAUCCAAAUAUGCAAGUGCUCUUUCUUCAAAAAAAAUGCCUAAAAUCCCUCAUACGUCACGGCAAAGCUGUGAGCUCAAUCUAAAAUGGUCGCUACAUUUUGGAAAAGUACUUAUGGGCCCAAAAUGGAAACCGUGUACAAAAGUUACGCUCACUUCUUCGAACGUCGAGAAUCCAAAUAUGCAAGUGCUCGGUGUUCAAAAAAUGAAUGGUCGGAAUCCCUCUUGCGUCACGACGAUGCCAUGAGUUCAAUCCAAAAUGGUCGCGACAUUUUCGAAAAGUACUUAUGGGCCCAAAACGGACACCGCGUGCAAAAGUUGCGCUCAAUUCUUCGAACGCCGACAAUCAAAAUAUGCAAGUGCUCGUUCGUCGAAAAACAAAUGGUGGAAAUCCCUCUUACGUCACGAAGAUGUGUGAGUUCAAUCCAAAACGAUCGCUACAUUUCCGAAAAGUACUUAUUUGCCCAAAACGAAAAUCGUGUGCAAAAGUUACGCUCAAUUCUUCGAACGUCGACAAUCUAAAUAUGCAAGUGCUCGUUCUUCGAAAGAAAACGUUCAAAAUCCCUCAUACGUCACGGCAAAGCGGUGAGUUCAAUCAAAAUCGGUCGCUACAUUUUCGAAAAAUGCAUAUGGGCCCAGAACGGACACCGUGUGCAAAAGUUGCUCUCAAUUCUUCGAACGUCGACAAUCCAACUAUGGAAGUGCUCGUUCUUCAAAAAAAAUGGUUGAAAUCCCUCUUACAUCACGACGAUGCCAUGAGUUCAACCAAAACGGUCGCUACAUUUCUAAAAAGUAUUUAUAGGCCUAAAACGGACACCGUGUGCAAAAGUUACGCUCAAUUCUUCGAACGUCGACAAUCUAAAUAUGCAAGUGCUCGUUCUUCGAAAGAAAAGCGCUCGAAAUCCCUCAUACGUCACGGCAAAGCGGUGAGUUCAAUCCAAACCGGUCGCUACAUUUUCGAAAAGUACUUAUGGGCCCAGAACGGACACCGUGUGUAAAAGUAGCUCUCAAUUCUUCGAAAGUCAACAAUCCAACCAUGGAAGUGCUCGGUCUUCAAAAAAGAUGGUUGAAAUCCCUCUUACAUCACGACGAUGCCAUGAGUUCAACCAAAACGUUCGCUACAUUUCUAAAAAGUAUUUAUGGGCCUAAAACGGACACCGUGUGCAAAAGUUACGCUCAAUUCUUCGAACGCGGACAAUCCAAAUAUGCAAAUGCUCAUUUUUCAAAAAAACAAACGGUCGAAAUCCCUCUUACAUCAUGAUGGUGCCAUGAGGUCAAUCCAAAAUGGUCGCUACAUUUUUGAAAAGUACUUAUGGGCACAAAACGGACACCAUGUGCAAAAGUUACGCUCAAUUCUUCGAAUGCCGACAAUCUAAAUAUGCAAGUGCUCGUUCUUCAAAAAAUAAACACCCGAAGUCCCUCAUACAUCACGGCAAAGUGGUGAGUUCAAUCCAAAACGAUCACUACAUUUUUUAAAAGUACUUAUGGGCCUAAAAUGGACACCAUGUGGAAAAGUUGCUUUCAAUUCUUCGAGCGCCGACAAUCCGAAUACGCAAGUUUUCGUUCUUCGAAAAACAAAUUGUCGAAAUCCCUCUUAUGUCGCAACGAUGCCAUGAGUUCAAUCCAAAAUGGUCGCUACAUUUCUGAAAAGUAUUUACGGGCCCAAAACAGAAAUCGUGUGCAAAAGUUACGCUCAAUUCUUCGAACGUCGACAAUCUAAAUGUGCAAGUGCUCGUUCUUCAAAAAAAAUGCUUGAAAUCCCUCAUACGUCAUGGUAAAGAUGUGAGUUCAAUCCAAAACUGUUGCUGCAUUUCCAAAAGGUACUUAUGGGCCCAAAACGAACACCGUGUGCAAAAGUUACGCUCAAUUCUUCGAACGUCGACAAUCCAAAUAAGCAAAUGCUCAUUCUUCAAAAAACAAACACCUGAAAUCCCUCUUACAUCACGACGGUGCCAUGAGUUCAAUCCAAAACGGUCGCUACAUUUCCAAAAAGUACUUGUGGGCCCAGAACGGACACCAUGUGCAAAGGUUGCGCUCAAUUUUUCGAACAU
rnacentral:sRNA from 1 species